UUAUAAGAAUUGAUCCCUCAAUAUUAAUUUCGACUUAAUCUUAGCUUAUUUAUUUAAGCCUUAUUUA
rnacentral:tRNA from 1 species